GUUCCGUGCCGGACGGGUCGAGUAACACGUACGUAACCCUGCCCAGAAGCGGGGGACAACAUUUGGAAACAGAUGCUAAUACCGCAAACAACGUUGUUCGCAUGAACAACGCUUAAAAGAUGGCUUCUCGCUAUCACUUCUGGAUGGACCUGCGGUGCAUUAGCUUGUUGGUGGGGUAAUGGCCUACCAAGGCGAUGAUGCAUAGCCUAGUUGAGAGACUGAUCGGCCACAAUGGGACUGAGACACGGCCCAUACUCCUACGGGAGGCAGCAGUAGGGAAUCUUCCACAAUGGGCGCAAGCCUGAUGGAGCAACACCGCGUGAGUGAAGAAGGGUUUCGGCUCGUAAAGCUCUGUUGUUAAAGAAGAACACGUAUGAGAGUAACUGUUCAUACGUUGACGGUAUUUAACCAGAAAGUCACGGCUAACUACGUGCCAGCAGCCGCGGUAAUACGUAGGUGGCAAGCGUUAUCCGGAUUUAUUGGGCGUAAAGAGAGUGCAGGCGGUUUUCUAAGUCUGAUGUGAAAGCCUUCGGCUUAACCGGAGAAGUGCAUCGGAAACUGGAUAACUUGAGUGCAGAAGAGGGUAGUGGAACUCCAUGUGUAGCGGUGGAAUGCGUAGAUAUAUGGAAGAACACCAGUGGCGAAGGCGGCUACCUGGUCUGCAACUGACGCUCAGACUCGAAAGCAUGGGUAGCGAACAGGAUUAGAUACCCUGGUAGUCCAUGCCGUACACGAUGAGUGCUAGGUGUUGGAGGGUUUCCGCCCUUCAGUGCCGGAGCUGACGCAUUAAGCACUUCGCCUGGGGAGUACGACCACAACGUUGAAACUCUUAUGUACUUGACAGAGUGCCCGCACAAGUGGUGACGCAUGUGGUUUUAUUUGUUAGCUGCGCGUAGAUCCUUCCUCAAGUUUUGGUUUCAUUACGCCUCACCCCUAGAAACAGGUAGCUUCUUACGUUACCUCAUUGUACAAGCAGAGCAUUGUCAGUCGCAGCCUCCUC
rnacentral:rRNA from 1 species